rnacentral:rRNA from 1 species
GAUGAACGCUGGCGGCGUGCCUAAUACAUGCAAGUCGAGCGAACAGACGAGGAGCUUGCUCCUCUGACGUUAGCGGCGGACGGGUGAGUAACACGUGGAUAACCUACCUAUAAGACUGGGAUAACUUCGGGAAACCGGAGCUAAUACCGGAUAAUAUAUUGAACCGCAUGGUUCAAUAGUGAAAGACGGUUUUGCUGUCACUUAUCGAUGGAUCUGCGCCGCAUUAGCUAGUUGGUAAGGUAACGGCUUACCAAGGCAACGAUGCGUAGCCGACCUGAGAGGGUGAUCGGCCACACUGGAACUGAGACGCGGUCCAGACUCCUACGGGAGGCAGCAGUAGGGAAUCGUCCGCAAUGGGCGGAAGCCUGACGGAGCAACGCCGCGUGAGUGAUGAAGGUCUUCGGAUCGUAAAACUCUGUUAUUAGGGAAGAACAAAUGUGUAAGGAACUAUGCACGUCUUGACGGUACCUAAUCAGAAAGCCACGGCUAACUACGUG